GAGAUGAGAGCGAGGGCCGGCCCGGUGGCCCCGAGGCCCCGCCACCACCGCCGCCGCCGAGGAGCAAGCCCUACACGUGCACUCAGUGCGGCGGCGCCUUCGACUGGAAGUCGGUGUUCGUCAUCCACCGCCGCGCGCACGCCGGCGGCCCGUGCACGGAGAAGCCACCGGCCGGCCCGCCCCAACGCGCGCUCCCGGGCCCGCGCGGCUACGCCUGUGAGGAGUGCGGCCACAGCUUCAGCUGGAAGUCGCAGCUGGUCAUCCACCGCAAGGGCCACGCCGGCCAGCGGCGCCACCUCUGUGCUGACUGCGGCCACAGCUUCGACUGGAAGUCCCAGCUGGUCAUCCACCGCAAGAGUCACCGGCCCGAGGCCCCUUGAGCGUGGGAAGGGCGGUCUCCCGUCCCUGCGCCAGCGAGGCCUGGAGACCUGGAGGCCGCCCAGGACCCUGGAGCAGAAGCUGGGCCCGAGGUUUGAGUGUGGACGGGCCAGGAACCCCAGGAGAGCACGGCCUGCUUCCGUCAGCAGCCAGCUGCAAAGUUGAAGUUUAUCCACUGUGCGUUUUAGAGUUUUAACAGAUUCCAGUUUUAAACUGGAGACGUUUCUGCAGAAGAAUCCUGGUGUAUGGUCUCUGCUGAUCGGAUCAGAGCAACUGCCCUCCCGCCUAGCCCCUGGAGCUGCCGAGCAGCCGGCCCCCGAGCCGGGCCAGCGUCCAGCCCACCUGCUCCUUGGCCGCACACCCAACUGCUGGCAUUGUUGUCCCCGCCUGAGUGGACGUGAAGGGAAUUUCUCUCCAAGGAUUUCUGGACAAGGAUGGGCUCCGAGAACAGAUGUCACUUAGGCCUGUAGGCCGGCGGCUCAGGGCUGCGUCCCCACAGCCUGCACAGUGGGUCACCCCCGGCGGCCCAUCUGGGUCCUGGGCAGUCGUUCAGGUCUCAGCCAGCAUCCUGUGGUACUUUCCUACUGCUGCGAUGGCUUAACACAACACGUGUGUCCUCUUGGGACUCUGGAUUGGGUCUCCCUGGGCCCAGUCACGGUGUCAGCAGGGCUGGUUCCCCCUGAAGUCUCUAAGGGGGAAUCCACUGCAAGAGUUUUUCUGACGUGUAGAGGCCGCUGCACCCCUUGGUUGGUGGCUCUUCACUCCAUCCGAAGUGCUCUCUGUGGACGGUGCGGUCCCACGCUGCCUCCUCCUCGUCAGGCCCUCGGGGCUGCGUCCAGAGUCCCCAGUAACCGUGGUGGUCCUAGUCUCAGGACUGCACGGCUUCCACGUCCACCCACCCUCCUGCUCUCAUCUGCACAAGCCCUUUGCAUGUGAGGUGACAUUCAAGGCUCCAGGGGUUAGGACGUGGACGUCUUGGGGGCUGUUACUCGGUGCGCUUCGGUCUCCAUUCUGCUCUAAAACGAGCAUUUUGUGGGAGGUGAUUUCAGGGAAACACGUGCGCCCAAGAAUUGAGCCCCCUGCAGCCUUGGGCACAUGCAGGGGUUGCAGGAGGGUGUUGAGUGCUGCAGUAACCAUCGUUACCGGGCAAGGUGGAGGACACCUGGACGGGGGUUGGGGGGCUUACUGCAGCCUGAAACCGGGAGGGAGAAGCCUUCAUCCCAGGGACCCACCUCCUCCAUGCCCAAUCCUCCAUGCCCCCCAAAUGCCCAGGGACCUUUGAGCUGUUGACCAUACUCAGGCCCGGGGAAGUACAGCCAGGCUGCAGGUGGAACUGGGCACCGGUGACCUCGUUACCGCAUCCAAGCUUGUGUUGCUUGGUGCAUGACAGGCUGAUGAACUGAGAGCCUGAGUGGUGAGGGCAAGGAGUAGUGCGUGUAUUCAAAAAGCCAGCAAACUGAGACGGUAGGAGACUUGUGCCCCAAAGAACCAUCUCGUCUGAGUUAAAAUCCAGGCUGCUCUUACACUGAGAGGUGAUGGAGUCAGGUGAAACAUUUCCUGCUUCAGAGGGGAUGUGUUCAUUUCCUCCUUCCUGUAGACACUCACAGGUGGUGUGGUCAGGAGGUCUCCUGUGAGCUAAACAAAGGAAUUCUAGCUUAAAUGCUCACUACCUGUGAGUCAGGGCUCCCAGAGGCGGGCUAUUAUGUAUAAUUUAAGCUUAGAAGCAGCAUUCUUAGUGACUAAGCAGCAUCACUUAGUGACUUAGUGAUGGACUCAGGUGACAGAAUUCAAAGGUUCUUCCUCAUUAUAACACAGUCUGGCUGGCAGCCAGAGGUGAGGUCUGAGCUGGGGUCACAGAGGAAGGUGGCGGGCAGGGCCCAGCCGCACACAGGUAGUGAGGGGUGGGCGGGGGCAGGCAGGCAGCCUUCCUGGGAGAUUUUCCAUGUUUAAAGUAGUUUCUGUUUACUUAGGAAAGUCUGAAAUGUACCAGAGGACAAAGGUCACAAAAGUGGUCCUGGAUGGCACUGUUUUUCUCCGUGUUCAAACGGGGUGGGGUUUUACAGCGGGCGAGGCCCCAGCGUGUUGUUCUGAGCCCUGCUCUUCCCGCCCACCUCCCUGUGUUGCUAAAAAUGGGACGUGUCAUGAUGCCUAGGUGGAGAUUCCACUUCCUGGGUUUCCACCAGGCCCCGUCAGUUCCCUGUCUGCCUCUCCCUCACAGCUCCCCGUGCCCUGAGGACACACCUGAGCAGACCCUCGGGGGGCAACCUGCGUGUUUCCUCAAAACAGACUCCCCGCAGAGUGGGAGUGGCAAGUUUUCUCGAGCGUGGGAUUUCUGUUCUUAUUUUCUUUUUCUAAUUGUUUUAAGAAACAAAACAGAUUGCAGUUCUGAGGUCAGGAGGCAGGCAUAGUCUCACUGCGCUGAAGUCCAGGUCCCGCAGGCCUGCUUUCCUUCUCUGAUCUCUGGGAGAACCAUCGCUAUACUUUUCCACCCUAGAGGCCUGUGUGCCACGCUCACCGCCCUUCCCCAAACCUUCUAGGCUGGCAGUGGCCACUCAGUGCUCAAGCGGGCUCGCCCGACACUCUCCUCUGCCCUCCUUUUCCACCUCUGAGGACCCUCGUGAUGACGCUGGGCCCACCUGCAUCAUCUCGAACAAUCCCCCUGUCUCACGGUCAGCUGGUGGGGUAAGGGGUUUUUAAAUUCUCCGCGGACUCAUCAGCGUCUUCCGGACACAUGGCCCCCGCCCGCCUUCCCGGGAAGGAAAGGCUUCCAGCGGCAGAGGCCCCAGAACGUCGUGGACUUGCUUUUCCAACCUUCCUUUUCCAUCCUUCGGGCGAAGCCCACGAGCUCUGCGUCUCUGCGGACAGCAGGCAGGCUCCGCCCCACCCACGUGCUCGGGUGUGCCUGUUGCCCUGUUGGCGCGGCCUCGCGCAUCACGGGGUCACAUCCGUCACUGUCUUCCGUCGGCUUUAGACCGCUUGCCCCAGCCAGCUCCCGCAGCACGGUCACCCUGUUGUAACUGAGCCAAGCCUCCUCGGCCAGCCUCCCGGGCACCCCGCACCCCAGCAUCGCCCGGGCUGCCUCUGGGCCAAGACCGUGGGCGGCGUCGGCGUCUUCCCGCCUGGUCCCAGUUGCUCGCUUCCCACCCCGUCUCAUCUGGUCCUCGAGACCACCGAGAGCCUCUGUCCUCAGCUGGGCCUCCCUCCAGCUCCGUCUCUUUCCUCUGCCGUUGCUCCCGAAUUAAGCCUGCUGGAGGCGACCUAGUGGUUGGCCGAACCGCAAUCUGACGCGGGUCUAUCUGACAUCUGCACCGGCUAAAAGUAAGGCCUGAUUCUGUUGCCUCCGUAACACCAGAAACCAGGAGAGCCUCAACGGGCAAUUAGCGAAUCCCCUUCCCUUGCUCCCCAUGCUGUUCCUGGUAAGAUCCCGAGUCAAACAGCUCCCUGGGUGCUGUUUCCCCCCCAAGCAGAGUGACUGAUUCCCCCUCAAAGCCGGCAGUCACCCCAAUGAGCCAGUCACACCCUCAGCAGGAGUCAGGGCCCCCCUAGCCUCUCCUGACUACAAAGCCUACCUCCCCCUGGUCCGGUGGGCACGCGACCCUGCGUGGUGGGAGGUGCUCACCUCCACGUGUUGUGUGUUCAGCCAUCUUGGUAGCUCUAGGGCUGGUUGAGCAGGAGAUGGUUACAACGCUGGGCCCAGGAGCAGGCUGCCUGCCCCUGCACUCGAUGAAGAUGCACCAGAGGCAGGUAGGGUACCGCACCCCAGAGCUGCUGAGCAAGGCUGGGGCGGGCGGGGAGAGUGGGGCAGGAGAGCAGGACGCUGGCCUGGGUCACGACUUUGAAGGGACGCCACAAACUCAGCCAGCAAAGUAGGUAAAGGCUUAAUAUUCUAAAAAAUAAAAAUGCACACAUCGUAAAAUGUUAAAUUGCA
rnacentral:lncRNA from 1 species